rnacentral:lncRNA from 10 species
CUUUCCAGCCCUGGCUGCUCCUGGAGGGAGUGAGCUCCCUAUCAACCAAAAUAUUCAAGUGGAGAGCAGGCAACCACUGGUGGGAUUCUAGCCUUUGAUGGACAUGUGAACUACGUAACCUUGAAGGUCCUUUCCAGACCUGAGUUGUCCUGAUUCUGGGAUUCUGGAGCCCAGAUGGGGCCUGUGAACUGUGCCAGGCAGCCAAGGAUGGUUAUGCAGGACAUCUGUUCCCUCCCCUGCAUCCCAGGGUUGCAGGUCUUGGAACCCAGGAUGACUCUCCAAAGCCUACAGCAACUUGCAGUGAAAAAAACUUCAAGGCUUGGAAGAUUGUGAGUGGUACCCUCUAUGAAAGGAUUUGUUCUUAUCAGCAUCUCUGAGUGUUGGCAGAAUGGAGCCAUAGGAAAGAACAUGGGCUUUGAAGCUGGACUGAUCUUUCGUUGAAUCGUGACUCUACUACUUCCCAGAUGCAUGGCUUUGUACCUCCUUGAGCCUCGGCUUUCUCAUCUGUAAGCAGGGUUCCAUGACACUCAUUCAUGCUGUUAAAAUUGAAUGUGACUGUUUAUGUAACAGGUACCCAAUACAAAUCCUAGGCUGUUUCAUUCCAGCCCCACUCCCUGUAUAUCAGGAAGCUCCUUUUAGACUCAGUCACUCCGAUGAGGCACAUUGACUGUUGCAAGCCUAUUUACCAGAAACAGAUCAGACUUAUGGUCAUCUUGGUGACUCAGUGCCUGGCACACAGUAGGUGCUUAAUGUGCAUUGACUCCAAUUGACAUCCAAUUGAGUCAAUGAAAUUUACUCAAUUUCUGAGUAGUUCAUCCAAGCAAAUCACUUAGGAGAAUGAAGGCAACCGACCCGCGAAGCAAAUGUCCUGGCUAUUUCUCCAGCCCUUCUCCAUUGGGCAGACAUUUGAUUGAUGCCUUCGUGACUGGCCAAAGUGGCCCCAAAAUAGCCACUAUCAGAAUCAUCCUGAUGUUGGUCAUUUUGGAUAUCUGCAGACCUGAGUGGAGUUUACAUUUGAUUCCCUAAACUAAUUUCCCCGAAGUCAAAUAACUGGUGGAGGUCUUUUCAUGUUCCUUGUAUAAAUGUCUAUUUAAUCACCAUCCUGUCUCUAGCACUUCAAUAACUUGUACAUUUCCCCCCUUAAUUACUGUUUCAGCUCUGCAAAGAAAAGAAAUGGUUGGCUGAAAAACUCACGCCAUCUGCACUAUUUGAGCUCUCCAUUCCCCUGACUGCCCACUUGAAUACAGAACUUUUCAGCUAAAUCCCGUUGAUCAUUUGGCUCAUGCCCUCAUAUUAAACAGGAGAAUCCUGAAACCAAAGUCACUCAACUAGCCAGGGCAAAGCUGAGGUUGGGCUGGACUUCCCAGGACACACCCUGCCUCCUACUGAUGGACUCCUUCCUCAUGCAGCUGCAGAACGUGCAUGUACCUUUGCAGUCAGGAGGACUUGGGUUCAAACCCAAGCUUUGUCACCUGCUGAGUCUGUGACUUUAGGUGGAUUACAGAUGCUCCCAGCACUGCAGUUCACCCAUUUAUAAAAUGUAGAUUUUCACACAGUCUUCCAGGGUUAUUGCACAGAAUUGAGAUGACAUGAAACAUGCCCAGCCAGAGUCUGGCACAUCACAGCUGCCCAAUGCUAUUUGCCUUUGUCCUUCACUCAAAAUUCUCACCGCAAGUCAUAAUAAUGGAAAUAGCUCACAUUUCCUGAGUGCUUACUUAGGGCCAGGAAUGGGUCUAAGCACCUCACAUGUAUUAGCUUAUUUAUUCCUCUUUCUCUAAAGACAAAAGUAUCUUUCUUGAUUCCCUAAAGCUAUCCAUCCUCCCAACUACUGGACUGCCUGGCCUAGUGCCAUUUCAACAGAGUUAGCUGAUUUUAAACAAUAUGUUGCUGAAAUGAUUUCUUGCUUUCUGUCCUGGCAAGUAGCAGCCAGCUUGUCUGAUGUGACAAAAUGUGAUGAAACUAAAUGCUGUUUUCUUCGCUUUCAGUACAUAUGAGUGGUCCAAAAUCUGAACUCAAGGUUAACUCUUGCAGAGGGGGUUGGGCAAUAGUGAAGGGUGCAGGGAGGAGUGGCUUCUCAUAGAGUUAGGAACAGGGUGGCAGCUGGGGUGUUUGGGACACAGAUGAGGUCUCUCUCCACAGUCUAACAACCAGUAGUGAAAGAAGUCAGAGUUUUGCUGCAAAGUUCAAAAACUUUAGUUUGGUCUCCAGGCACCCACUACAUAAUUGCAUCGUCACCCCUCAGCCCAGCUCCCAUCUCAGCACAUCCAGUCCCUCCCUCCAGCCACCCUGAACUAGGCGCGGGGCCUAGAAUGCAUGUGUUCAAUCUCAUUAUUUCAUGUCUCUGAACUCUUGCAAUGGACUCCUGUCCUCUCACCCUGAAGUCCUC